UUAUAUUACCUGGGAUUUAAUUCGAGAUGAUGAUGUAACCCUUUAAUGGGAGAGAUUAUUGUUAAGGUAUUUUAAUUAUGUCUUUAUCCUUUAUUAUGGGUAGUUAGAUGUAAUAGUUUUUGAUAAGUGAGCACCAAAUCCUGUGGGAAUGAAGUACCUGGAUUUGGGGGUGUCACAGUUAUCCUGAAGGCACCCCACGUCCGCCCAUCCUUCAGUGGCUCAGGAAGCUCUGCUACCCAGUCUUCACAGUCAUCGAGUCAUCCAACUAUUCAUACUCCUGCUGACUGUGUGAGAGCUAUAUGUCGAGAUCACGAUCUUCUAAAUAUAUUG
rnacentral:lncRNA from 1 species